CCUACGGGAGGCAGCAGUAGGGAAUCUUCCACAAUGGGCGAAAGCCUGAUGGAGCAACACCGCGGGGGUGAAGAAGGUCUUCGGAGCGUAAAACCCUGUUGGUAGAGAAGAAAGGGCGUGAGAGUAACUGUUCACGUGUCGACGGUAUCGAACCAGAAAGCCAAGGCUAACUACGUGCCAGCAGCCGCGGUAAUACGUAGGUGGCAAGCGUGAUCCGGAUUGAUUGGGCGUAAAGGGAACGCAGGCGGUCGGUUAAGGCUGAUGUGAAAGCCUUCGGCUUAACCGGAGUAGUGCAUUGGAAACUGGGAGACUUUAGUGCAGCAGAGGCGAGUGGAACUCCCUGUGUAGCGGU
rnacentral:rRNA from 1 species